rnacentral:rRNA from 1 species
ACUAACAAGGAUUCCCCUAGUAACUGCGAGUGAAGAGGGAAGAGCUCAAAUUUGAAAUCUGGCAGUGUUUUGCUGUCCGAGUUGUAAUCUAGAGAAGUGCUGCCCGUGCUGGACCAUGUACAAGUCUCCUGGAAUGGAGCGUCACAGAGGGUGAGAAUCCCGUCUUUGACAUGGACUGCCAGUGCAUUUGUGGUGUGCUCUCAAAGAGUCGAGUUGUUUGGGAAUGCAGCUCUAAAUGGGUGGUAAACUCCAUCUAAAGCUAAAUAUUGGCGAGAGACCGAUAGCGAACAAGUACCGUGAGGGAAAGAUGAAAAGAACUUUGGAAAGAGAGUUAAACAGUAUGUGAAAUUGUUGAAAGGGAAACGCUUAAAGUCAGUCGUAUCGGCCAGGGAUCAACUCAGUAUUAUCUGCUGGGUGUACUUCCUGAUCUGAUGGGCCAACAUCAGUUUUGACUGCUGGAAAAGGAUAGAGGGAAUGUGGCACCUUUGGGUGUGUUAUAGCUCUCUGUCGGAUGCAGUGGUUGGGACUGAGGAAAGCAGCAUGCCGCAAGGCCGGGUCGUUUCGACCACGUUCAUGCUGAGGAUGUUGGCAUAAUGGCUUUAAUCGACCCGUCUUGAAACACGGACCAAGGAGUCUAACAUGCCUGCGAGUGUUUGGGUGGCAAACCCGAGUGCGGAAUGAAAGUGAAAGGUUGAGAUCCCUGUCAUGGGGAGCAUCGACGCCCGGACCUGAGCUCUUGCAAAGGAUCUGCGGUAGAGCAUGUAUGUUAGGACCCGAAAGAUGGUGAACUAUGCCUGAAUAGGGUGAAGCCAGAGGAAACUCUGGUGGAGGCUCNUAGCGAUUCUGACGUGCAAAUCGAUCGUCGAAUUUGGGUAUAGGGGCGAAAGACUAAUCGA